rnacentral:rRNA from 1 species
GACGAACCGAGCGAACGUUGUUCGGAAUCACUGGGCUUAAAGGGCGCGUAGGCGGGCAUUCAAGUCUGUGGUGAAAUCCUCCAGCUCAACUGGAGAACUGCCUCGGAUACUGGGUGUCUCGAGGGUGGUAGGGGUAUGCGGAACUAUCGGUGGAGCGGUGAAAUGCGUAGAUAUCUGGAGGAACACCGGUGGCGAAAGCGGCUUACUGGAUCGAAUCUGACGCUGAGGUGCGAAAGCUAGGGUAGCAAACGGG